rnacentral:rRNA from 1 species
AUUGAACGCUGGCGGCGUGCUUAACACAUGCAAGUCGUGCGGUAACAGGCGUAGCAAUACGUGCUGACGAGCGGCGAACGGGUGCGUAAUACAUGGGAAUCUGCCCUUUAGUGGGGAAUAACCCGGCGAAAGCCGGGCUAAUGCCGCAUAAGAUCUUCGGAUGAAAGGCGGGGGAUCGUAAGACCUCGCGCUGAUGGAUGACGCCCAUGCCGGAUCAGCUAGUUGGUGAGGUAACGGCUCACCAAGGCGACGAUCCGUAGCUGGUCUGA